GACCCAGGGCUAAAUAUAGUCCCACGCAACCCACCUCGUAGGCAUUUCUCUUCUGGUCGCCAGUGGUGUUGGUGGGUAUCAUCGCUGUUCGCUGUGGUCGCCACGGGUGUUGGUAUAUAUCUUCGUUGUCUGUGAAUGAACGUGCGCUUUAUAAGGUCCUGCAAAGGCUUUGAUACCUGAGCAGACCAUUACUCUUGCCCUUCAGCCACCUAGGCUGGGAACCUUAGUUAAUAUUUGUUAUGUUGCCGAAAGACGAGAGAGGAGAGUUGUGGUGUUGAAGGCAGUUUCCUGUGCACAGUUGUUCCACUUCACGACUGUUGGCUGAUGAAUAUAAUGGGGAAACAUUUUUCAAAAUGAGUAACAAACUCAGGCUAAGUAUGUUGUGGUAAGAAUACGUCUUUGGCAAUUUUGAGACAAUUUUAGAUUUUUUUAAAGUUGGAUUUCACAAUGCAUGCUGUGUUCCAAAGCUUCAGUAGUAUCGACAUACCACCAGAAAAACUGUCCGACCCCUGGUUGUGUUUGAAUCAGCAUUAUAUUUAUUACUGCUUCAAAAUAAUUGUGGCAUGCUUACAGUUAUGACAUUUUUUUUUUUUUUUUUUUUUUUUAAGGGAAUUAAGUGUAUGCGGUUACACAGUAGCAUGCACUUUAAUACAAAGUUCUACUUUAUUUGAUAUGUGUUAUAGGAUGGUGUUUUGGGGAAGAGGAGGAUGCUUUUUUUAAUUUAAAUUAUUGCUGUUGUUACUGCACCUUAUUAGGAUAGGCAGGUGGUGUGUCUCUAGUUUAAUAGGUAAUUUUAACAAAAAUUGCGGGUGGUUUCUGGGGCCAUAUCUUCGCAGGUACAGCUGUAUUUCAUAAUUUGUUCAAAUGGUGUCUCUCUCUCUCUCUCUUUGAAAAUUUACACAUGCUUUUCCAUUUGCCUCGAGUAGAUUUGCUGUUGUCAGUAAUGCUGAGAUCCAUUUGUGUAUCUUUAGAAUUUAGGACUUUAAAAUUAUUAUUUGUUGGUUGUACAAGGUUCAAAAGGCUUCUUUUUUUUCAAUUUUAUGUCUCAUAGUCACGUUUUAUCCAGACAGGCUGCAUUUUUUCCGAUUCUGGUUCUGAGGACCAUUGGCAAGUGCAGUAAAAAAACAAAUACAUGCAUGUUUGACAUUGCUGCUUCAUAUCUGGAACAGGUACAUCUCUUUUGAUGUGAUAGCCUCGCAUAUGGCCGCUGAUUGGCCAUCAGGCAUUUUUUCUGGGAUUCCGGUCCAUUUGAUGUCAAUGCUGUGUUUUAAUUUCUUUGCAGGCUCCUGUCCUCAAUUUCUUUGAACAUUUUUCUCUGUACAUCCCAGCCAGACAACUCUGCUGUUUGAUGACUGUAUCCUAAUUAUUCAUGUCUCCAGAACAUAUCAUAUUUGCAGGAUUUCUAUUUGCUAUGCAGCAAAACAAAGAAACUCUCACCCCUUCCAUAUCCAUAACUUGCCUACUGUCCAUUAAAUCCUUUAAAUAUAAAAACACAGGCUCUUCCUUGAGUCUGCCAAAUAUCCACAUAGUGGCUUGUCCAUCUUCAGUCUUCCCAACUUGUUUAACUCAGCAGAAUAACUAUACCCCCAGUUCUUGUUAUCCAAUUCUUUGUGUUUUGUAUGUUAGUCAUUGGUACGGUUGUUUGUCCCUUCAUAUGUUGUCCAUGUCUCAAGCACCAAGAGCAUACUCCUUACAAGCAUGGAUAUGUGCUAUAUAAAUCACACUUUUUAUUAACUUGCACAAAUCCAGAAUGCAUAGGUUUUCUUUGCAGGUCCUAAAAUUAUGCAGAUAAAGAUCAUUUAUGAUAUUGGGGUCAGGGGUGUCAGAUAAUGGGUAACAUUGUGACCCAAUUCAAUUUUUUCUCAAAUUGCCAAAGAAUUAUUCAGACCGGUCUGAGGCAAGUGAAUUUUGAACUUGCUUAUUGUAUGAUACUGUACAUGUUAAACAAAUCAUUUUUCAGUAUGGUUGAUUAAAAAAAUGGUAUUCUUUAAAAA